rnacentral:rRNA from 1 species
UGGGGAAUAUUGCACAAUGGAGGGAACUCUGAUGCAGCGACGCCGCGUGAACGAAGAAGGCUUUCGAGUCGUAAAGUUCUUUUAUAUGGGAAGAUAAUGACGGUACCAUAAGAAAAAGCCCCGGCUAACUACGUGCCAGCAGCCGCGGUAAUACGUAGGGGGCUAGCGUUGUCCGGAAUCACUGGGCGUAAAGGGUUCGCAGGCGGAAAUGCAAGUCAGGUGUAAAAGGCAGUAGCUUAACUACUGUAAGCAUUUGAAACUGCAUAGCUUGAGAAGAGUAGAGGUAAGUGGAAUUUUUAGUGUAGCGGUGAAAUGCGUAGAUAUUAAAAAGAAUACCGGUGGCGAAGGCGGGUUACUGGGCUCAUUCUGACGCUGAGGAACGAAAGCGUGGGUAGCAAACAGG